AAACCAUGCCCAAGACAUCUCUUCAGAAGUACUUGUAUCUCUCCCAAGCAUCACAUAAAGACUCAGCAUCUUGUUGUUCAAAGCUUGUGAUUUUUUCUCUCUUUUU
rfam:Cicer arietinum chromosome Ca1, whole genome shotgun sequence.